CAAAAGCGUAUAUUAAAGUUGUUGCAGUUAAAAAGCUCGUAGUUGAACCUUGGGCUUGGUUGGCCGGUCCAUCUUUUUGAUGCGUACUGGACCCAACCGAGCCUUUCCUUCUGGCUAGCCUUUUGACGAACCAGGACUUUUACUUUGAAAAAAUUAGAGUGUUCAAAGCAGGCCUUUGCUCGAAUAUAUUAGCAUGGAAUAAUAGAAUAGGACGUUAUGGUUCUAUUUUGUUGGUUUCUAGGACCAUCGUAAUGAUUAAUAGGGACGGUCGGGGGUAUCAGUAUUCAGUUGUCAGAGGUGAAAUUCUUGGAUUUACUGAAGACUAACUACUGCGAAAGCAUUUACCAAGGACGUUUUCAUUAA
rnacentral:rRNA from 1 species